UACGUAGGGGGCAAGCGUUGUCCGGAAUCAUUGGGCGUAAAGCGCGUGUAGGCGGACUGGAAGGUCUGGUGUGAAAGCCCGGGGGCUCAACCCCGGAGGGUCACUGGAAACCGACAGUCUUGAGUCCGGAAGAGGAGAGUGGAAUUCCUGGUGUAGCGGUGGAAUGCGCAGAUAUCAGGAGGAACACCUAUGGCGAAGGCAGCUCUCUGGUACGUGACUGACGCUGAGACGCGAAAGCGUGGGGAGCGAACAGG
rnacentral:rRNA from 1 species